rnacentral:rRNA from 1 species
GACAGAGGCCUCAAGCGUUAGGCGGAAUCACUGGGCUUAAAGCGUGUGUAGGCGGACUUCUAAGUGCCUCGUGAAAUCCCACGGCUCAACCGUGGAACUGCUGGGCAUACUGGGAGUCUUGGGCCAUUCAGGGGCAACUGGAACAAGCGGUGGAGCGGUGAAAUGCGUAGAUAUCUGGAGGAACACCGGUGGCGAAGGCGGCUCACUGGACCGUAUCUGACGCUGAGGUGCGAAAGCUAGGGUAGCAAACGGG